UACGUAGGGGGCAAGCGUUGUCCGGAAUUAUUGGGCGUAAAGCGCGCGUAGGCGGCCCGGUAAGUCCGUUGUGAAAGUCAAAGGCUCAACCUUUGAACGCCGAUGGAUACUGCCGGGCUAGAGUCCGGAAGAGGCGAGUGGAAUUCCUGGUGUAGCGGUGGAAUGCGCAGAUAUCAGGAGGAACACCAAUAGCGAAGGCAGCUCGCUGGGACGUAACUGACGCUGAGACGCGAAAGCGUGGGGAGCAAACAGG
rnacentral:rRNA from 1 species